UAGUGGACCCUCAACCAAGCAGUUUAUCAGAUGUCGCUUUCGAACCUCCGAUUCAAGAAAUGCGGAAUGACCAUAUCAAUGAUUUAAAUAACUUUGAUUUAAAAAAUGGCUAGAUAAGCAGGCGGGUCGUGGUAUCGGCGGAAGGCC
rnacentral:sRNA from 1 species